CACGUAGGGUGCGAGCGUUGUCCGGAAUUAUUGGGCGUAAAGAGCUCGUAGGCGGUGUGUCGCGUCGGCCGUGAAAACCUGCAGCUUAACUGUGGGCUUGCGGUCGAUACGGGCAUCACUGGAGUUCGGCAGGGGAGACUGGAAUUCCUGGUGUAGCGGUGAAAUGCGCAGAUAUCAGGAGGACACCGUGGCGAAGGCGGGUCUCUGGGCAUUAACUGACGCUGAGGAGCGAAAGCAUGGGGAGCGAACAGG
rnacentral:rRNA from 1 species